CCUACGGGUGGCAGCAGUGGGGAAUAUUGCACAAUGGGGGAAACCCUGAUGCAGCGACGCCGCGUGAGUGAAGAAGUAUUUCGGUACGUAAAGCUCUAUCAGCAGGGAAGAAAAUGACGGUACCUGACUAAGAAGCCCCGGCUAACUACGUGCCAGCAGCCGCGGUAAUACGUAGGGGGCAAGCGUUAUCCGGAUUUACUGGGUGUAAAGGGAGCGUAGGCGGACAGUCAAGUCAGCGGUAAAAAUGCGGUGCUCAACGCCGUACAGCCGUUGAAACUGGCAGUCUUGAGUGGGCGAGAAGUAUGCGGAAUGCGUGGUGUAGCGGUGAAAUGCAUAGAUAUCACGCAGAACUCCGAUUGCGAAGGCAGCAUACCGGCGCCCUACUGACGCUGAGGCACGAAAGCGUGGGUAUCGAACAGGAUUAGAUACCCCUGUAGUC
rnacentral:rRNA from 1 species